GGACAAUACUGCCAAAGAACUGUAUGCUUUAAUGGAUACUUUUGGUCUUACACAACAUGUGACUGGUUCGACACACACUCAAGGUCACACUUUGGAUCUUGUUAUCUCUAAAGGUGUUGACAUCUCUGCUGUUGAUGUAAGAGACUUAGCUCUAUCUGAUCAUUUCUGUGUCUUUUUUGAUCUAGAGACUGUAACAUCUGUUCCCCCUACUUCUGUGUGUUUAAAGAAAAGGUACAUAAAUGAGAACACAAGUGCACAGUUUAUGGAAGCCAUAGCAAUGACACCAACAUUGAGUGCUGAGACAGUUGAUGAUCUUCUGGAUGAGUAUAAUAGAAAAGUCUGUAAUGUCAUAGAUGUGGUGGCUCCAAUCAAAACUAAGAGAAAACCAAACACACAGAAAACACCUUGGAGGAGGACUGAGAUAAUGCAGAAUUUGAAAUCUGACUGUAGAAGAGCUGAGCGUAAAUGGAGAUCAACAAAACUCCAAAUUCAUCUAGAACUAUACAAAAUAAGUCUGCGAAAAUUCAAUGAUGGCUUGUUCAAAGGAAGGCAGCAAUACUUUUCUGAAAUUAUUGCCAAAAAUGUCAACAACUCUCGCACGUUGUUUUCUGUAAUUGAAAAGCUCACAACCCCCCCAGAUCAGAUAGCCCCUGAAUUACUGUCAGCUGGAAAAUGCAAUGAAUUUGCUGUAUAUUUCAAUGAAAAAAUACAAUCAAUAAGGUCAAACAUCAGAACAAACCAGCAAAAUCACAAAAAGCUUGAACAGCUUCAACCACUGAGGGAUGAGUCAACUACAAUGUUAGAGUUUAUUACAGUGAACCCAAAAACAAUAGAGGAGACUGUUCAGCAGCUGAAUCCAUCAACGUGUUGCCUUGACACAAUACCCUCAAACUUCUUUAAAACUGUUGUAAAGUCAAUUGUCACUGAUUUGUGUCAGAUAAUUAACUGCUCAUUCCAAUCAGGCACCGUACCAAAAUCCCUGAAAGUAGCUGCUGUGAAACCUCUGUUAAAAAAGAGAACACUGGAUGCCUCUAUACUGGCUAACUAUAGACCAACCAGAACCUUCCAUUCAUGGCCAAGAUCAUUGAGAAGGUGGUCUUCAACCAACUGAGUCAAUUCUUAACAUUCAACAAAAUAUUUGAUAAAUUUCAGUCAGGUUUUCGUUCUCAUCACAGCACUGAAACUGCUCUGAUCAAAGUGAUCAAUGACAUAAGGUUGAACACUGAUUCAGGAAAAGUAUCUGUUCUCAUUCUAUUGGAUCUAAGUGCUGCAUUUGACACUGUAGAUCAUACAAUUUUGUUGCACAGAUUGCAAACAUGGGUUGGACUAAAUGGAAAAGUUAUGCAAUGGUUUAAGUCAUACUUGAAGGAGC
rnacentral:lncRNA from 1 species